rnacentral:rRNA from 1 species
UAUCGUUAGUUGCCAGCGAGUAAUGUCGGGAACUCUAACGAAACUGCCAGUGCAAACUGAGAGGAAGGUGGGGAUGACGUCAAAUCAUCACGGCCCUUACGUCCUGGGCUACACACGUGCUACAAUGGCCGGUACAGAGAGCAGCCACUUCGCAAGAAGGAGCGAAUCUAUUAAAACCGGUCUCAGUUCGGAUCGGAGUCUGCAACUCGACUCCGUGAUGCUGGAAUCGCUAGUAAUCGGAUAUCAGCCAUGAUCCGGUGAAUACGUUC